rnacentral:lncRNA from 1 species
CAAAAAAUGAUGCAAUAUCAACUAUAUAAAUAGAAGUUAUGAAACUUACAAAGUCAAUGCAAAACAUGAAAAUUUCAAAUUGAAUUUAUGGUGUUUUUUUCCAUGGAAUGUUUUUGGUAUUUGGUCAAACAUAGAACUAUGUUAACCUCUUCAAUUUCUAAAACAUUUUAAGAGGUAUGCUCUUGUUGAUUCAGAAAUACAUGCCUCCGCUCGCAAAACUUCAAACUGCAUUAUCUCUACAACGACAAUAGAUAUCUCAAAUCUGUUAAAUGAUAAAUGAUCUACAGUUGAAGGACAACAUUAUAGAAAAAGAAUUAGGACAAUUUCAAAGUUCACCAAGGUCACAAUUAAUCAUCAAAUAUAUGAUGCAAUACCAAACUUUAGAACUGGAAGUCGUAGAGACAUGGGACUAUCAUCAUUCAACUCAGGAC